rnacentral:rRNA from 1 species
GAAUGACUCUCGGCAACGGAUAUCUCGGCUCUCGCAUCGAUGAAGAACGUAGCGAAAUGCGAUACUUGGUGUGAAUUGCAGAAUCUCGUGAACCAUCGAGUCUUUGAACGCAAGUUGCGCCCGAAGCCUUUCGGCCGAGGGCACGUCUGCCUGGGCGUCGCGCAG